rnacentral:rRNA from 1 species
GAGUUUGAUCAUGGCUCAGAUUGAACGCUGGCGGCAUGCUUUACACAUGCAAGUCGAACGGCAGCACGGACUUCGGUCUGGUGGCGAGUGGCGUACGGGUGAGUAAUACAUCGGAACGUGCCCAGUUGUGGGGGAUAACUACUCGAAAGAGUAGCUAAUACCGCAUGAGAACUGAGGUUGAAAGCAGGGGAUCGUAAGACCUUGCGCAACUGGAGCGGCCGAUGGCAGAUUAGGUAGUUGGUGGGAUAAAAGCUUACCAAGCCGACGAUCUGUAGCUGGUCUGAGAGGACGACCAGCCACACUGGGACUGAGACACGGCCCAGACUCCUACGGGAGGCAGCAGUGGGGAAUUUUGGACAAUGGGCGAAAGCCUGAUCCAGCAAUGCCGCGUGCAGGAUGAAGGCCUUCGGGUUGUAAACUGCUUUUGUACGGAACGAAAAGCUUCGGGUUAAUACCCUGGAGUCAUGACGGUACCGUAAGAAUAAGCACCGGCCAACUACGUGCCAGCAGCCGCGGUAAUAC